GUGGCCAUUAAACAAGCAGAGUCUUGGCUGAACUUGAGGACUGAUGCAUGUUUCAGUAACACCGCUAAGAGCAUCUUCCUUCUGGAAAACCUAAGCAGGUGCGAACUUGGGCUGCUGAGCCGUUCUGAUGGAGAGUUUAAGAUCGUUUGUCUGAGGGUGGACUGGGAGGCUACAUUCCACCCGUUGCUGCCAGCGUUCAGUUUUCACAGGGGCACUGCGCAGAACAAACUGCUUCUGUCCCUGCUUUCCUUUCACUGUGGGGCUGCCGCAGCGCAUCCAUUCGUCCCCUCUAGUUGUCGGCUACGUAAGGACACCAGCUACUCCUGUAGCGGGGCCACUUGAUGACCGUCCCUAUGGCUGAAGCAUGGGGGGAGUGCCCAAAUGCCUCUGUCUGGGUCUGACAUUCAGGUCUAUAAUAUCAGCGUCUGAACGGAGACCCAGCAACAGUGAAUGAGAAUGAUGCUUGGGCCAGCCGGGCAUCCCAUUGAGAGAUACCUUAACUUGAAGGAAGCAACUCCCCUCAAACCAGUGCCAUUGGCAGCAAAAAGUAGACUGCACUGAAGGACUAGAAGAAAAUCUUAGAGUGGGCUAUGGUGGAACAGCACCCAGGAGGUUAAGGAGGCAGGAUUGCCACAACCCCAAGGACAGCCUGAGCUACAGAGUGAGUUUGAGACAAGCCUGGGCUAAUAGCAAGGCCCUGUUUAAAACAAAUAAUAAAAUAAAAUAA
rnacentral:lncRNA from 1 species